GACGAACGCUGGCGGCGUGCCUAAUACAUGCAAGUCGAACGAACCGCGACUAAGUGCUUGCACUAAGUCAAGGUGAGUGGCGAACGGGUGAGUAACACGUAGGUAACCUACCUCAUAGUGGGGGAUAACAGUCGGAAACGACUGCUAAUACCGCAUAGGACAUAGGAUCACAUGAUCCAGUGAGGAAAGGUGGCGCAAGCUAUCGCUAAGAGAUGGACCCGCGGUGCAUUAGCUAGUUGGUAGGGUAAAGGCCUACCAAGGCGAUGAUGCAUAGCCGACCUGAGAGGGUGAUCGGCCACAUUGGGACUGAGACACGGCCCAAACUCCUACGGGAGGCAGCAGUAGGGAAUCUUCCGCAAUGGACGCAAGUCUGACGGAGCAACGCCGCGUGAGUGAAGAAGGUCUUCGGAUCGUAAAGCUCUGUUGUUAGAGAAGAACAGCGCAUAGAGUAACUGCUAUGCGUGUGACGGUAUCUAACCAGAAAGCCACGGCUAACUACGUG
rnacentral:rRNA from 1 species